rnacentral:rRNA from 1 species
AACGAACGCUGGCGGCGUGGAUAAGACAUGCAAGUCGAACGCUUGUCACGGGGUAGCAAUAUUCUGUGGCAGGAGUGGCGCAAGGGUGCGUAACACGUGGGUCAUUUGCCGCGAAGCUGGGAAUAACUCGUUGAAAGACGAGCUAAUACCCAAUGUGCUCCUAACGGAGUAAAGCCGGGGACCGCAAGGCCUGGCACUUCGCGAUAAGCCCGCGGCCUAUCAGCUAGUUGGCGGGGUAAAAGCCCACCAAGGCUAAGACGGGUAGCUGGUCUGAGAGGACGACCAGCCACACUGGAACUGAGACACGGUCCAGACACCUACGGGUGGCUG